GGAAUUAACUUUCAUCAGCACUGCCCCUUAAGAGACGCGAGUAAACUUGUGAUGGUGGUAUGUGUAUGACACCUGUUAUCGAAGAAGAAGGCUGUUCGGUGGCGCCAGAGAGUUUGGGCCGGCCACCAUCCCCUCUGUGGCACACAAACAUUUGAGCGUAGAAAAGGAAUCGGGAGCUAAACUCUGGUAGAGUCUUCUGCGGGUUGCGUACAGACACCCAGCUGGUUGGAUGCACACUCUGCCGGGGAUGUUGGCUCUCCUUCCUAGUGCGUUACUGUGAGAGUUUGAUUUUACUUAUUGCAUUUAACCAACAUGUGAUUGUAUUGCUGUGCUGAUUCUUUGUGGCGGAAUAAAUGACGCUCAUAUUCUAGCAAA